ensembl:snoRNA
CCACCCCCCAGAGACAUUGCAGGUAUGGCUGCUAUGCCCCCUUUGGGCCAUUAGGUGGCAGAGAGAACAGAGGCUUUGUCUACGUUCUGACCCAUGAACACUUGCAUGACUAUUAGUCUGACACU